GAGCCCUCUACUUUUUAGCAAGUUAUCAAAGAUCUUAAUUGGUAAAAAGUUAUAGAAAAUGAAUAUACAAUGCCCUGAUGAAGAAUUACUUAAACACUUGUUCUUCUACCUCUAAGAAUCAAUAUCAUUGGUCAAGUGGGUUUAUAAGCUCAAGUAUAAUCUUGAUGGCAAUAUUGAAUGUUAUAAACCACACCUAGUUGUAGAAGUGUUUCAUCUAACUCAUGGAAUUGACUACUUUGAAACGUUUAGUCCUGUUCUUAGGGCAACUACUAUUUGAAUUGUUCUCAUGGUUGCUCUGUCAUUUGGAUGGACAAUUCACCAACGUGAUGCACAUAAUGCCUUUCUAAAAGGUUAUUUAGAUAAGCAAGUGUUUAAAUCCCAACCAUAAGGGUUUGAUAAUCCCCAAUAUUCUAAUUAUGUUUGCAAGCUCGACAAAGCUCUUUGU
rnacentral:lncRNA from 1 species